GACGAACCGUGCGAACGUUAUUCGGAAUCACUGGGCUUAAAGCGCGUGUAGGCGGGCCGGCACGUCGGUCGCUGAAAUCCCCCGGCUCAACCGGGGAAGGGCGCCGAUACGACCGGCCUGGAGGGGCGUAGGGGGACCGGGAACUUCCGGUGGAGCGGUGAAAUGCGUAGAUAUCUAUCGGAACGCCGAAGGUGAAAACAGGCAGCUGGGCUUGAUCUGACGCUGAGGUACGAAAGCGUGGGGAGCAAACAGG
rnacentral:rRNA from 1 species